GCCGGCUCCUCGACGGCGGGCCACCACACCUCCUCGAUGCGGGCGAGGUCGAGGUGGGGGAAGCGCUGCGCCAGCUCCGUCGCCGGCGUGCCGAUG
rnacentral:tRNA from 1 species